ACGGAAGGCAGCAGUGGGGAAUGUUGGGCAAUGGGCGCAAGCCUGACCCAGCAACGCCGCGUGAAGGAAGAAGGCUUUCGGGUUGUAAACUUCUUUUGUCAGGGAAGAGUAGAAGACGGUACCUGGCGAAUAAGCCACGGCUAACUACGUGCCAGCAGCCGCGGUAAUACGUAGGUGGCAAGCGUUAUCCGGAUUUACUGGGUGUAAAGGGCGCGUAGGCGGGGAUGCAAGUCAGGUGUGAAAUCUAUGGGCUUAACUCAUAAACUGCACUUGAAACUGUAUCUCUUGAGUGCUGGAGAGGUAGACGGAAUUCCUUGUGUAGCGGUGAAAUGCGUAGAUAUAAGGAAGAACACCAGUGGCGAAGGCGGUCUACUGGACAGUAACUGACGCUGAGGCGCGGAAGCGUGGGGAGCAAACAGGAUUAGAUACCCUGGUA
rnacentral:rRNA from 1 species